rnacentral:lncRNA from 1 species
AUCUCAGCAUCUCCACAUCUCAGCACCUCCGAAUCUCAGCAUCCAGCUCGAGCUGUGAACCACAUCUGUGGUGCAUCUGUGCUUUAUCUGGUUUAUUUCAUGGACCUAAGGGCCGCAUCUGCAACAACACCGAUCCUUUAACCCACUGUGUGGGGCUGGGGAACAACCUGUGUCCUGGUGCUGCUGAGACGCCACCAAUCCCGUUGGGCUACAGCAGAACGCCUGGAGAGGAUAUUCUAAUAUAUUGAAUCAUUGAGAAAUGAUAAAAGGAGAAGUCCAUACACAUUCAUGAUUUUCCUUUUUUUAAAAAAUUUUUUGAGAAUGAUAACAUCCCCUGAGGAGCCCUCUUGAAGGAAGAGAACAGAAACGUCAGCAUCCUGGGUUGUUCUCAUGCCCACAGACACUUUCCGUGGGGGAGCAGUGACCCUAAGCGUGGCCCAGGGUCCUCAAGACCCUCUCCAAAAGGGUUCCUAGGGUCAAAACUAUUUUCAUAAUACCAGAGAUUUGUUCCUUUUUCAGUCUCCUGCUCUCCUGAUUGUACAGGGGAAUUUUCUAGAAGCUGAUAGUGCAGACUGAUUGAGCAGACUGACUACAGACUGAUGGUGCAGACUGACGGUGGAGACUAACUGCAAACUGAGUGCAGACUGAUGGUGCAGACUGAUUGCAGAAGCAGCUAUGAACAUUCACCUGUAUUGUUAGCCAGACAUUACAGCAAUUUGCAGAAAUGGAAGCAAUGUUACUCUCCUGCCUAGGUUUUUUGGUUUUGUUUUGGAAACCAUAGUUACAUUUUCACAAAAAUGUGUGACUGGCAUGACCAGGUGACAAAACUAAUUACACUCAACACAUGUUCAUUCCGGGACCUGCUCUAGGUGCUAGGAAACAUCAGAGAGGAUGUCACACAUACAGAUCCAUGGGGCUCAAACUGUGUGAGGUGACGUGGACCCCAUGGAAACUCACUGAGAGGCUGCAGGAAGGUUUAACUUUUCAAGGGAAGCACAGUGAUGCUUGGCCCCUGUGGGAUAACAUGGUUUGACGGUCUCUCCAUUAGACUGUGCAGCACUUACUGAAGAUGUCAUCUCUCUAUGAAAUUGCAUUUCUGGAAGUUGUUGGGAUUAAAACAUUUCUGCUCUUUGAGAAGAGACGUUACUACUUACAGGCUUGCAGAUCCCUCUGAAGGUUUGUUCUCUGCGAGUGGAAGCAUCCUCCGCAAGGCCAGAAGCAGGGCUCCAAGCGCGAAGUCAGGACCCAGAAAUGAGGCCUCGGUGGAUUCCCCACCCAGUCAGGGGGAAGGACUCUGAAUGGCUGGUCCCGUGUCAUGUGACCGCCCUUGAGCCUCUGCCUGGUGUGCGGACAGAGCUGAGAUGCCCAGCGAAGAGAAAAUGGUUUCCCCAGGUUCUGGACUCGCUUCUCAGCGACUCCAGUUUUGUUCAGGAAAUCGAGACGUCUCAUGCUUCCAGAGCUCUUCUCCAACCCCAAAGAUUGGCCAAUCCAGAGGUUCUUAACUUGAGUGGCCCAGCGCAGUGCCUCAGGGGACUUUUAAACAUCAGGAUGCGGAGAACAUGUUGGACCAGGGAAAUCAGUCACUGGGGAUGAGACUCAGCCAGCAUCAGUAUUUUGUAAAGCUCCCCAGGCUUAUGACAUGCCUGAAGCUUUACUAGCUUCUCUGCUUCCCAGCAGCUACCCACCGACCAGCUCCUCACACUCUUGCUAUGAGCCAUGAAUCAAAACAUAUUUUGAGGAGAAAAGCAACCCAGAAAGGCCCUGUUGGAUACCCCACCUCCUCCUCUGAGAAUAUCAGGUGAACAUUCUCUCAUUCAUUUUGCCACUUUGUUUAUAUCCAAAUAUCUGGAUAUUAACGGACAAAUGCAGGAGCCAGUUGGGUCCCCAGAACUUCGAAAUUAACCUUUCUGAGCAAAGGAAAAAGCUCUUCCCGUCCUCUCAGGGUGAGUGACUGAUUGGGCAGCUUGCUUCAACGUUCGGACACACCCAGAAAAUUGUUCCAGACUGUGGAUCAGAGGCCUCUAAGUGUGUCAAACUCACUUGCCUCUAGGUAGCUGGGCUGCUGUUCCCGGUCCAGCUGUAUAACCAUAUAAUAUGUCACCCAUCUCCAGACAGUUUUUUUAGUAAAAAGAGUUGUUUUUGAUGAGCAUGCUGUGACCAAAGACUCAACCUAGGACAACGCCUGGGGAACCAGGACCCACCGCCUAAGUCUGCCUGGGUAACUUCUGGGGCCGCCAAUGGCUGGUGACACCCCCCUGCCCACCUGCAGCUGUCCUUAGGGCUGGCCUGUGGUAAAAAUGACAGGCGAAGAUCUUAAGAAAGUACAGUUUUUAUGAGACCAACUGUUUUGUGAAUGCUCUCAACAACAGAGCCCCAUGUCUGCAGAUCUUCCAGAGGGCUAACGAAAGCCAAGUUUGAGGAAGCGUGGCUCUCACUCUGAGGGAAAAUGUGAAAAAAAGAUUAUAGAAAUCAGGAGUUCCCACUGUGUAAUGAAUCUGACUAGUACCCAUGAGGAUGCAGGUUCAAUCCCUGUCCUUGCUCAGUGGGUUAAGGAUCCGGCGUUGCCGCGAGCUGUGGUGUAGGUCACAGACGCGGCUUGGGUCCCACGUGGCUGUGGCUGUGGUGUAGGCCGGCAGCUGCAGCUCUGAUUCAACCCCUAACUUGGGAACCUCCAUAUGCCGUGGGUGUGGCCCUAAAAAGAAAAGAAAAGAUUACAAAAAUCAGAUGACACAAUGAAAAGAAGCGGAGGAGGUGGACUGUGCGUGGACCUGCAUAGAAACAGCAAUUUUGCAGAAGCACCUCUGAGUGGAGUUCUAGGGACAGACCGAAUAGGCUUUGUGGAGACACACCCUGUCACUCCUACGAAGUCCUGCAGGUAACUGGCUCCCAUGACCAGCAUGAUGGGAAAAGAACAAGGGCCUUUCUAUGCUACAGCCACACAAAGAUGCUGCAAAAGAAGGGAAAGAAAAGGCAGCACAGAUUACCAACAGAGGAAGGGAAUUCUCCAGAAAAGCAUUGCCUUGCAAGAGAUGAAAAAUUGUAGGAAGUGAAAUCUUCAUUCGUUUAAAAUAAAUGCUAUUUUAAGAGGUGUACAAUGAAGCCUAAAGGCAAGAACUCAGAAUGUAGAAACGGAGGAUGUUAAUCACAGGUGGGCAGAGGGCAGGACAGAAAGAUGAGGAUGGCAUUGGAUAGAGUCCAAAGGCAAAUGAACACUAACAAGAAAAAUGAGGUGACCUGAAGAGUAGAAGCGAGAAAAGUCAAAAGAAAAUGGGAAAAAAGUGUUAAACUUAUCACAGGACACAGGUAUGCAAGAAACUAGCCCAAAUAAUGUUGAGCAUAGUAUGUUGACUCUGUACCUCAGAUUGAAGAUAAAAAUGCUGUACCCAUGCUGAAUUCUAACUAGGAGCUUUGUUGGUCCUGGUCAUUUGGGCUACUCAUUUGGCAACCACUUCUGAGUAUUUUUGGAUAGAGAAGUAAUUGCCUUAAGAACAAGCACCUGUAACUUUCUCCUCUUCUGAUGGAGAGCUGAGUUACCAAGUAUGGCGAGGGCGGAGAUUAAGAACUUGUGUGCAGGGGAAUUGGGACAUCUGUGUAAUGACUGCAUGUGAGCGUGCAUGCACACACACACAAACACAUGCAUGUGCACACGCACUCGUGACUCCAGCCACAGAGUCCUCGGGUCUCCUGGGUGAAGGGGCCCUGGAGCAGUCUGCCUCGGCACCUGUGACAACUCACAUCUUGAGCUCUGCAAACCAUUCUAAUAAAUUGGCUUGAAACAAUGGUUUCCUUGGCGACACAGUUGCGUCCAGGGCUGUGUCAAGGGACGUAUAAGGUGAGGGCUAGAAUGGGAUGGAAGAAAGUGACCAGAGAAUGGAGCCCCGUGCUGACGAAGACGUUGCACGAGCCAACUGAUGAAGAUGUUCCACUGGUCAUUUCAGGUACAAUUUGAGCAUCGAAAUACAUAAGGAUAGAAAGACGUAGUUAUCCAUUGAAUGAACUGAGAAUUGCUCAUUCCCUGAGUGAACGGGAAGGAAACACUCCUCCUUGCUGAAGAAAACCAACAAAGAAACGUGGAAGGGAAGGCAAGGUUAGGAAGUCCUUGUCUGACAGCUGUUGACUGAGGCCAAAACCAGGGGUAGAAAGUUGGAGCCACGAAACAUCUUGUUUCCAAGGGUCCAAGAUACUUCUUAACAGAAAGGACCACAGAGGAGCUUUGCACCUGAGAAACCUUGCAGACGCCACAUUCCCCAAAGGACGGAAGUUACCUUCACCCCCAAACGAGGUCAAGUCACCCUUGCUAUGGUUCGUAAGACGAUCACAGCGUCACUUCCGAGGGUCUUCUGCCCCAGAUACGUGACCUGCAACAAAUCACGACAAAAUAUCUAAGUACCCACACUGAGUGACAUUCUCAAAACAAUGGCUCAAAGUUUUUAAAGAAAGUGAAAUGUAAAAACAUGCUUCUGAUUAAAGGAGACUCAAGUGAUCAUGAUUAAUAUAAUACGUGUCCUUUUGUGAAACCCUGGCCUGGGCUGGGCAGGGGUCCUUUAUGAUAGACAUUAUUGGGACAAUUAAUGACAUUUUGAACAGAGACUGCGAAUUCCAUAACAGUAUUGUAUCAUAUUCAGUUUCCUGGAUUUGAACAUUCUUCUGUCGUUUCAUAAGAGUAUCCUUGUUUUUCGGGAAUAUACUGAUAUAUUUAGGGUAAAAGUGUGCUGCCUGGGAACCUCCUUAUGCCAUAAGAGCGGCCCCAGAAAAGGCAAAAAGACAAAUAAAAUAAAAUAAAAUAAAUAAAUAAAUGGGGGGAGUUCCUGUCAUGGCUCAGCAGAAAUGAAUCUGACUGUUAUCUACCAGGAUGCGGGUUCAAUCCCUGGCCUUGCCCAGUGGGUUAAGGAUCCAGCAUUGUGGUGAGCUGUGGUGUAGGUCACAGAUGGGGCUUGGAUCCUGCAUUGUGGUGGCUGUGGUGUAGGCCGGUGGCUGUAGCUCCAAUUUGACCCCUAGCCUAGGAAUCUCCAUAUGCCACAGGUACGGCCCUAAAAAAAAAAAANNNNNNAAAAAAAAAAAAAAAAAAAAAA